UUUCCUAUGACCGUACCUCUCAUCUUUCACCCGAUCAAAAUCCCAUCGAAGAAACCUAGGGCUUUUUCUCGUUUCCCACUUCCGCUGCCUCCUCUCCUCGACGGAGCAAAACCGCAGCCUCCUCUCCUCGGCUCCCCACUUCUGCCGCCUCUCCUUCUCGCCGACCUUUUCGCCGUCGUUUCCCUCCCCUCGUCGGUUCCUCACUUUCGCCGCCUCUCCUUCACUUUCCCUCGUCCGUCAGCCCUUUGUUCGUCGACUUCAAGGCCAUCCCUCUCUAGCAUCCAGUGAUUGGCUUCUUCAGUUGCAGAAACAGUUCAAAUUGAUUGGUGCGGGUGCUUCGGUUCUCAAUCUUGGAUGCGCUCCCGGUGCUUGGCUUCAGUGCAUGUUUAGGUGGCUUGUCAGAGUUUAGGGCCACCGAAGAAGGGUGGGGCUGUUAUCGGUGUUGAUAUAAAGAGCAGAAUGUUAAGGUUCCAUCCCAUCACUGUGACUCUAGAGUACGAACAGUUUGUGCUGAUGUUAUGGAGCUAAUGAAGAGCCAGGCUAGAAAACUGUCUCCUCAGGUGUGAUGGUUCAAUCCAAGCACCCAGCCAACCAGCAUGGUCAUUAACUUCUCUGAGUAGCCAACCUUUUUGCACAAUGUCAUCAAGUUGAAAACAAUACUCUCACUGAUGGUAGAAAAGAUGGGGGUGGGUGGGGAUCUCUUAUAGUUGUCAAUUUAUUUAUACAGAUAAUAUACUUUCCUCUUCAUUCAGUCUGUCAUGCAAUUUGUUCAUAUAACUUGGAACUGUUUUAUGGUAUGUGCUUAUAAUUCUUGUCCUUUUUAAUUGAUAUAAUCUAUUUUUGGGUAAUUUGAUAUUGUCUGCUUUUGUAGAUGAGAAUGGAAAUGAACACAUGGGGGUGGUUGCAUCAAUGUGGCCAAUAUAUGGUCUUUGCCAUUAAACAAGAGAAUUGAGGCUUGUGCCUAAAAGAUUGAGAGCAGAAGCUGUUGGAAUAGUUUGAGUAUCAAUCUAUAACUUUCUAUCUCAGAGCAAAUUUCUGCUUCCAAAUGGGAGGGAAAUUAAUGGACUAAUACUUUCAAUGAUCGGAAAAGCAUUGAAUAAUCAGCAAAGGAUUGGAAUCAUGAGAAGAAGCAUUAGAACUGAACCCUCUUGAUGUUGCUCGCAAAUAUUGGAUACAAUUUGUUGAACACUCAUUUUCUAAAGAAUUUUAAGGAAAACAUUUGGAGAUCCAUGCUUGUCGCUUUUUGGGGGAUUUAUUUGUUAUGAAGAUUAGAACUUAAUCGUCUCAAUAGAGACAUUUUGACCUUUUGAUUAAGUAGUAGCUCUUUGUUUUAAUCAUGGAGGAUUUGUGAUAUGUGCUUACUUUGGUUAGUUUGUGUGUAAAACUUGUAUAGAAUUAUCUCAAUCCUAUUGCUAUAAUAUUGUUCUUCGUUGUAAUAAAUUGUUCAUUAUAUUAAGGCUAAAGUUUGGUUA